AGGAGCCGUAUGAGAUGAAAAUCUCAUGUACGGUUCUGCAAUAGGGAUGAGAAUAUGUGAUGUUAUCAUCUACUAUGAU
rfam:Helianthus annuus linkage group 9, whole genome shotgun sequence.